rnacentral:rRNA from 1 species
UACGUUCCCGGGUCUUGUACACACCGCCCGUCACACCAUGGGAGCCGGGAAUGCCCGAAGUCGGUGACCCAACCGUAAGGAGGGAGCCGCCGAAGGCAGGCCUGGUAACUGGGGUGAAGUCGUAACAAGGUAAC